rnacentral:rRNA from 1 species
GAUGAACGCUGGCGGCGUGCCUAAUACAUGCAAGUCGAGCGAACGGACGAGAAGCUUGCUUCUCUGAUGUUAGCGGCGGACGGGUGAGUAACACGUGGAUAACCUACCUAUAAGACUGGGAUAACUUCGGGAAACCGGAGCUAAUACCGGAUGAUAUUUUGAACCGCAUGGUUCAAAAGUGAAAGACGGUCUUGCUGUCACUUAUAGAUGGAUCCGCGCUGCAUUAGCUAGUUGGUAAGGUAACGGCUUACCAAGGCAACGAUGCAUAGCCGACCUGAGAGGGUGAUCGGCCACACUGGAACUGAGACACGGUCCAGACUCCUACGGGAGGCAGCAGUAGGGAAUCUUCCGCAAUGGGCGAAAGCCUGACGGAGCAACGCCGCGUGAGUGAUGAAGGUCUUCGGAUCGUAAAACUCUGUUAUUAGGGAAGAACAUAUGUGUAAGUAACUGUGCACAUCUUGACGGUACCUAAUCAGAAAGCCACGGCUAACUACGUGCCAGCAGCCGCGGUAAUACGUAGGUGGCAAGCGUUAUCCGGAAUUAUUGGGCGUAAAGCGCGCGUAGGCGGUUUUUUAAGUCUGAUGUGAAAGCCCACGGCUCAACCGUGGAGGGUCAUUGGAAACUGGAAAACUUGAGUGCAGAAGAGGAAAGUGGAAUUCCAUGUGUAGCGGUGAAAUGCGCAGAGAUAUGGAGGAACACCAGUGGCGAAGGCGACUUUCUGGUCUGUAACUGACGCUGAUGUGCGAAAGCGUGGGGAUCAAACAGGAUUAGAUACCCUGGUAGUCCACGCCGUAAACGAUGAGUGCUAAGUGUUAGGGGGUUUCCGCCCCUUAGUGCUGCAGCUAACGCAUUAAGCACUCCGCCUGGGGAGUACGACCGCAAGGUUGAAACUCAAAGGAAUUGACGGGGACCCGCACAAGCGGUGGAGCAUGUGGUUUAAUUCGAAGCAACGCGAAGAACCUUACCAAAUCUUGACAUCCUUUGACAACUCUAGAGAUAGAGCCUUCCCCUUCGGGGGACAAAGUGACAGGUGGUGCAUGGUUGUCGUCAGCUCGUGUCGUGAGAUGUUGGGUUAAGUCCCGCAACGAGCGCAACCCUUAAGCUUGGUUGCCAUCAUUAAGUUGGGCACUCUAAGUUGACUGCCGGUGACAAACCGGAGGAAGGUGGGGAUGACGUCAAAUCAUCAUGCCCCUUAUGAUUUGGGCUACACACGUGCUACAAUGGGCAAUACAAAGGGCAGCGAAACCGCGAGGUCAAGCAAAUCCCAUAAAGUUGUUCUCAGUUCGGAUUGUAGUCUGCAACUCGACUACAUGAAGCUGGAAUCGCUAGUAAUCGUAGAUCAGCAUGCUACGGUGAAUACGUUCCCGGGUCU